ACAGGGGUGCUGAUUGUUUCGGCUGAGAUUAUACCCUGAACCUGAUUCGGAUAAUGCCGACGUAGGAAGUAUUAAA
rnacentral:ncRNA from 1 species